CAUUAAUUUAGUGACUGUUACAGGGACUGCAAAGACGUCCUGCCCCUCUUCCACACUGCCACACUCUGCAUGUUACAGGGACUGGAGAGACUCCCUGCCCCUCUUCCACACUGCCACACUCUGCGUUAGAGGCUGCUGCCAUUUGGAACGGCUGAUGAUGAAGGGAUCUCACCCCAGGAUUUUCUCACAUCAGGGAUGCAGCAGCAGGAAUGGGACUGAGGGAGACAUAGAGCUCCCUAAUGCUGAAUCUCUUCCCUGUGCUGAAGAAAACUCCAGACCUCCCAGCCACUGGAACUAAAAUUGGCUAUGACUUUGUAGUCCUAUCUGGAUCACUUCCGCAGCCUGCAAUCCCAGCCCCAGCAGCCCCAUCUACUGCCUUGGGCAUUGAAUAGAGUCUUGUCCUGCUUAAUAGCAAAUGCUGCUCAGGCAUCCUGCUAGGUUUUUUACGGCCAGGGUAGAGGAGAGAAGAAAAGAGAAACGGCAGGCUUACAAGCAUCUUCUCUGCCUCUCUAAUAGCUAAGAAGCCUACAUUUCCAAUCUAAUUUAUUUUGGUUUCUGCUCUGAAACUUGGAACCCAGGUACAUUGACAGAUGCAGGAAAGGAGUGACUGUUCCUUGUACAUUCAGUGUGAGAUGUUGAGAACGGUGGGCUUAGGAGAAGGGCCAGAUGACACUACCAUCUUUGCAUUCAU